GCCUGGGUCCCUGGUGAGGAUGCUGUGGAGCAGAGCCCCCUGGCAACUUGUGAUGAAUGGAGGGUAGCAUGAGUGAGAAAACUUUGUUGUUUUAAUCACUGAGUGAUAUGGUUUGGCUGUGUCCCUAGCCAAAUCUCAUCUUGAAUUCUCACAUGUGGGAGGGACCCGGUGGGAGGUAAUUGCAUCAUAUUGACAGGUCUUUCCCUUGCUGUUCUCGUGAUAGUGAAUAAGUCUCACAAGAUCUGACGGCUUAAUAAGGUGGAAUUUCCCUGCACAAUCUGUCUUUUUUCUUUGCCUGCCACUAUCCAUGUAAGACGUGACUUGCUCCUCCUUGUCUUCCACCAUGAUUGUGAGGCCUUUCCAGCCAUGUGGAACUGUAAGUCCAUUAAACCUCGUUUUCUUCCAAGUCUUGGGUAUGUCUUUAUCUGCAGUGUGAAACAGACUAAUACACUGAGAUUUUAGAAGUGUUUGUUACCAAUGCAUACUCUAGGCUACCCUGACCAACCCUCCAUGUGACCUUGGGCAAAGUGCCUAACCUGUCAUUUCUCAGUUUCUUCUUUUGGCAAAUGGAGAUCCUGACUCCUCUAAAUUAUUUUCAGAAUUAAUUGGAAAAAUACAUGGAAAAAGUGUGCCUGGCAUACAGCAAGUGCUCAAUAAACAUUAGCUGUUACUAUUUUAUAUGUGGAUACAUAGAAAGAAUACUUCUCUAUGUAUUAAAAGCCUCCUUUCAUAUAAUUGUGUAGGUGUUUGUGUUGAUGCAUUAAUAUCUGUCCUUAGCCUGAGUCAUGAUGGAAGCUGAAAAGGAUGUUGGGGGUGGGGGAAGACCUCUUCGCCUCUCACUUGCUUUUUUGAGGUAGCUACUUGUUGAGGGUGAAUGUGUCAACAGUGUGGCACAGCAUAGAGGAUGGCAUGGUCAGUGCCUAACUCAUAAGCCCCUGGCCCCACACCACUCAUGCUUUUAAGUGGCCAGAUUGUCCCACCCUCACCUUCCACUUACUGGGGCUGUCUGCAUCUGUUGCCAUGGAAACGUAUUGAAGUUGAUGCUAUGUAUCCAUUUGGAUUUUUAAUCUCCAAAAAACAGAAAUAAGUCUGGCUAAAUUAAACAGUAAGAAGACUUAGAAAAAGGAAAACAAAAGAAAAACCCAAGCAUUACAAAACUCACUGAGACCCCAGAAAGGGCAGAGCCAGGCUUGAAGGCUACGUGGUCAAGGACUCCACCCUAAAUCAUGCUUUAGACCUGGCCUGGAGAACUCGUCAGUUCUAGGCAUGGACACUUCAGAUUGACCCAUGAAUGCCAUGAAUGCUGCUGGUAGAACCUCUGCCAUGGUUGCUGCUGGAACUUAGUGCAGCUCCUGCCUCUGUCACUACCCUCACCAAAUGGAGUUCAUGUGGUCUCUGCUUUUUCCUGUCACCAGUUCCUAUAGGGAGAGGGACUCUGCUUCAGAUGGUAGUGAAUUACCUCCUUUCCUUUCAAACUCCUUAACCAAAUUUACAAGGUCCCAACCUUGCUAGGGGCCAGAUCUAGCCUUUGGGAUUCUACCACCUGCAAAUUCCUUCAAAUGUGUCCUGCAGACAUUCUGAAUGCACUGUGGUUUCCUGAGUACAUCAUGAUCCCUUGUUUCUGUCUCUUUUCACAUACUGUUUGAACUCUCACCCUCCCUUCAGUUGUUGUCACACAGAUGCAGUGUGUUUGUCACCUGGCUUACUCCUCCAGGCAGCCCUCCAGAUUGUGCAGGUUCAAGGCAGGAGCUCUACCUUUAUGGUCUCCUUAUAUUUAUCAUACCGUAAUGCAUUUGCCUGUUUCCUUAUCUAUUCUUAGAGACCAUGAGUUCUUUCAAGGCAGGCUAUGUGUUUUGUUUCCCUUUGUGCCCCAAGUCCUACCACAGUGCCUGGUGCAGGUUAAGACUCAAGAAAUAGUUGAAGAAUAAAUGAACAAUGUUGAGGAAAUCAAAAGAGUGCAGGCUUCCUCUUUAUUUAAUGCUCCUGGGAAAAGCCAUCCUGCCCACUUGAGUCUGCUUCUGGCAAGAGCACAGUGGGAUAGUUUGGAGAGAGAUGCCUCAUUUGUCCCCUUGAUGUUCCUCUCACAGGUCUGGGCCACCUUCACACCUCAGAGCUUUUCUUUCAUCACUGGGUUUGGUGUGUGAUGACUCUUGUCAUAAUCAAAAGUCUUCCUAGAAACUAUUAUUUUAGCUCACAUUGCCUCUUGGUGUAACAUGGUCUUCGUAUUAGUUUUGUGGGGCUGCUGUACCAAAUUAGCAUAAACUGGUGACUAAAAACAACAGAAACUGAUUCUCUCAGAGCUCAGUGGGCUAGAAGUCCACGAUCAAGGUGGUGGCAAAUUCAGUUUCGGAUGAGGGCUCUCCUCCUGGCUUUAAGACGGCUACCUUCUUGCUGUGUCUUCACUUGACAUUUCCUUUUGCAGUGGUAGGGGUGAGGGAGAUGUCUCUAGUGUCCCCUCCUUUUCUUAUAAGGACACCAAUCCUGUCAAAUUAAUGCCCUACCCUUAUCACAUCAUUUGUCCUUAAUUACCACUUGUGAUGGUUAAUAUUGAGUGUCAACUUGAUUGGAUUGAAAGAUGCAAAGUAUUGUUCCUGGAUGUAUCUGUGAGGGUGUUGCCAAUGGAGAUUAACAUUUGAGUCAGUGGGCUGGGAAAGGCAGACCCACCCUCAAUCUGGGUGGGCACCAUCUAAUCAGCUGCCAGUGCAGCCAGAAUAAAAGCAGGCAGAUGGACGUGAAGAGACGAGACUGGCCUAGCCUGCCAGCCUACAUCUAUAUCCUGUGCUGGGAUGUUUCCUGGCCUCAAACAUCAGACUCCAAGUUCUUCAGUUUUGGGACUCGGACUGGCCUCCUUGCUCCUUGACUUGCAGAUGGCGUAUUGUGGGACCUCACCUUGUGAUCAGGAUUGUGAAAAUAAUCGCAGGUAGCUUGGAAUAUAAAGAGAAGCAUAAAGAAGGGAAGAGAAAUCACACAGAAGCCCACAACACAGGAAUGAGCUCUAUGUACUAAUGAGGAUGUGAAUCUGCCGUCGACAGCAGAUCUGGGGAUGGCUUCUGAGUCCCCGUCCAUGCUGCAGAUUCCAGACAUGGACAGUCUGCUGAGGCCAGCACUUUUCCCCUUUUGAAGAAAGCAACUCGGCUACUCUGUGAAUUAGCUGGGUGUGUAGAACUUUAAAAGAGUGAUUAAUAGCAACAAGACGGAUAGCUGCUUUGAAGUCUAAGCCAAAGGCAGUUCAUACUUUGCAGCCUUUUAAAAAUGUCUUCAUCUUUACUUCUAAAACUGCUGUGAAUGCCAGAGCUAUGGGAAAGAGCCAAGUUCAAUCCUCACAGUGCUGGAGUGCAUCAAAUAACCCUGGGCAACAGGGUUCUUGCUCACUUUCUUGGGAGUUCUUACUUAAAUGGUAGUUUUUCACUUGAUAAUAUAGCAUCUGUCCCCUGCUUAUAGAAAUAAAGCUUUAAGAAAACAAGAAAAAG
rnacentral:lncRNA from 1 species